rnacentral:rRNA from 1 species
UACGUAGGGUGCAAGCGUUAAUCGGAAUUACUGGGCGUAAAGCGUGCGCAGGCGGUUUUGUAAGUCAGAUGUGAAAUCCCCGGGCUUAACCUGGGAACUGCGUUUGAAACUACAAGGCUAGAGUGUGGCAGAGGGGGGUGGAAUUCCACGUGUAGCAGUGAAAUGCGUAGAGAUGUGGAGGAACACCGAUGGCGAAGGCAGCCCCCUGGGUUAACACUGACGCUCGGGCACGAAAGCGUGGGGAGCAAACAGG